GACAUGUGAAAUUCAUCAAAUUAACAUGAAGGUAGUAUUUUACAAUUUUUCCAAUCUAUUACAAAGCAGAUAUGUCUAUUAUUACAAUAUAUAAUAUGCAUUCUUGGAUAAGUAGAGCUUCACACAAUUGGCUUCAAGGCUUCGCACUUCAACUUUCUUAGGCCUGGAGGUCCUGUAGAAGAAACAACCAUAUUUGUAAGAGCUACAAGAUACAGAUCAAGAAUAGAAACAAGGCACAAAACAAGGAAUCCAUGGCGGAAACCUUGAAGCGACAAAUGUUUCUGAACUCAGAUGAGAGAAGUUUGAGUCUAGCCAAUUAAACCAACUACCACUGAUGUAACCUAUAAAGAUGGACUGAACAAUAGCAAUACAAAAAAAUGACAGCUAAAUUAUGAAGAGUCCUAAAAUUGACCCCUUUUGCCCUUAAUUAAUUGUGUGAAGCUGAAAUGAUUAAUCUAAAGUAAGAUAUACCAGUAUGUAGGCAAAAAAUGUAGUUGAAUGACCCAUACUUGAAUAACUCAAAAAAGAAGGCAGCAUCAAAUACUAUAGUAAUUAUUAUUGGACAUGAUAUAGUAAGGUACUUUCACUGGUUAAGGUACUCUGCAGCACACGUACGUCGUACCAAAGUAUGCGUCCAGACAGUAAGGAGACACAAUUAGCUAGUCUUGUACGCACAUUUUUCCAUGUUUUCAAGAUAGAAAUGCAAAUGAAUGGAUACUGACUACAUUGUAAUUAAUAAUUGCGUUGGUUGAUCGCAGAACUGGAUCGAUCUGGACGACAUGUAUGCAAUUGCUCAACAGUGGUUAUUAGUUGCAGCGUUGCAGAUCAUCGUUAACUAACUAAUUAGUAAGUGCCGGUUAAGAUGGAUGGAUGGAUGGAUGGAACUGCAAGAGGGUCAUAUGCUAUAGUAGUACUUUGGGCCAGGCGAGAGAAAAAGAUGACCCGUCCAUGCCUUCGAUCCAUCCAUCCAUCCUAAAGCUGCUUGCUUGCUUGCUGCAUCACACGCAGACCAGACCAAAAGGCUGCAUGCAUACGUACUGUGCUAUCAAGCUAGCUACCUCUUGCAAAUGGGUCAGCAAAAUUAAGCUUUUUCCCUUUCAGCUAAGCCAGGCUAGAUCGGCCAUGAGCUUGCAGUAAAUGUUCAAAAGGCUGUAGAGCAAAAUCACUGUUUAGCAACAGGUUUAUAAAGACAUUCUUAAUACGUUGAAGCUUCGAAGCGUAUGUCUCAUAGCAGAGCAAAACCUGUUUAUUUUCAAAUGGGGGCAUGUUGAGUGAAAACCUACCGUCAGUAAAUUCAGCUUUUGCUGCUCCCUUCUCCAGACUGUACUGAAGGGAGCCAAUGGUGAGACUAACGGCAGGAAUCAACAUUAGUCUCCUUGUUUCUACAUCAAGAAAACAAGAACCAAGCAUCAGAUCCUACAGGUAGCAAAAGAAGACAUUAAUCCUACAGUAUCACGGCAACAUUUGACCAUUUGAAGCAAAAGAAAAAUGGGCGCUGAUUGGAGUUGGAAAGCAUAAUAGUACAUACUCUAAGGAAGGUACAAGUAUGAUAAAACAACACUAGUAUUUAUUCAUUUGUCUACAUGAAUAUGAUUCAUUAAUUUAUAACACAACCAUACAUAUAAUAUACGUGAAUAUUUUAUUAGCUACCACAUGUAUUUAUAAUAAUUAUUUUUUAGUAAUAUAUGUUGCCAAUGCUAUGUAUCACUAAUUCAGUCCAACUAAACCGACAAAUGCUACAGGCAGAAGUCCCAUCAGCAUCACAAAUCAGAAGAACAUACCCCCCUAAGUCUGAACAACUAUUCCUCGCUUGCGACUACCCAGAUGAUACAGUGCAACCCAUGCGAUUUAGUAUGAUAACAAAGUGCUGGUUUGACCGCCAACUCAAAACAGCAAUUAAUUUGUACACUAUCUGACACGCAAGUGAAAGACCACUAACAAAUGCUCUAUCUAACAGUACCUCGGUGAUGACACACUCUGGAGCCAAGUUCCUCAAAUGCACAAACAGUAGUGUAUGGAAAUCUGAGUUCAAAUGCUAUAGGAGUAACUAGUUUUUUCAGUGUGUAAAUCAUGUGUUGAACAAAGCAGAAUAAUCAUAAACAAAUAGAACUACUGCAGAUCCCAUUGCAAUGUCUAACAAGUAGAUUAGAAGUAUCUCUGCUACUGUACUAACCUCAAAUGAGAGGCCAACCUAUUGCUUUAAGGUAAGCCAAAUGUGAGCUAGUAGUGAGUGCCAAGUGCCAUCCAGAUUGGAAACUACUGUAACGACAUUCAUCUACAAUGGAAACUGAUACAUUUUGGCAUCAAUAUUUCUUCUUGCCAAAAUAUGACAGCAAGCACUGCCAAGACAUGAUCCCCACAUUUUUCACUCGCAGCAAAAGUGCAAAGCAUGCUAUCACACCAAAUAGACAAAUCAAGAAACACCUCCUAUCAAGUGCAAAGCAUGCUAUCACACCAGAUAGAUUGGGCAACAAAUCACAAGAGAGCGAGCGAGUAGUAAGAUCAUACCCGUUCCUUCCUAUGCAUCGCCUCUCCCGCGUGCAACGAGUUGAACUGCGCAAGAGGAAACCAAGAAACGCUCAGGAACGCACUCCAUUCCAGACGAGUUGGGCGCCUCCCUCGUCUCCGCCACCGCGGGUCCGGCUCCAUUGGAGGGGGCGUAGGAGCGCUCAAGGGCCAGCUCUUGGUCGCGGCCGUCCUCGCCCGGUUCUGCUACUCCUAAACUGUACGGUUCCAUCACGAAUCUGCUAGCAGCAAGUAACAGAAUAGCUCAGUUCAGAUCAUAGCAAGAAACUUAACUCAGUUCAGAUCAUACUUAUCGGAAAACAGUAGCAGAUUGGCUAUCAGAAGAAUUCAGAAGUUUAGUACAAAAUACAUUACUGAAGCUUAACUCAAUUCUUAACAGAGAUAAUAAAGAUGCAUCUCAAGAAACUGCUUAAGCUCGCAUGCCAAGAUUAUGAAACCAUAUGUAGCAGCAGCUAUAAGAACAAAAUCCAACAACGAAUGACUGAAGUUUGAAAGAAUCCUUAUUAUUUAGAACAAGAUUACAAUAACACAUAGCAUCUGAGAACGAAAUGUGGCUUACUGUAACAAGUAGCACGACAAGCUUUCUCAAGAGAUCACAAGCAUAUGACGGCAAAAAGGGCUAGAUUCCAAAAAUAAAUUUCUGAACGCAGGACAAAAUAUUGCACAACAUAAUCUCUAUCAGAAAAAUUUCUACAUGGAGAGGGACUGAGUAAUGCUUAUAGAGGUAGCAACUACCAAGGAACCCCCAACAUUUUUAGCAAUAAUCAAGAAAUCCAGAUGUUCAGUUCAGACUUUAGACAAUCAAGAAAAAUAAAUCAAGCAACAUAAUACAUCAAUCCAGAUGGCUUGGGGCCGGAGUGCCAGUCAAUAAUUAUUGCAUCAGAGAUAAGACCAGCCUCGAGCUCUCACCGCAAUUCUGCAUGUAGAACUGGCAAUCCUGUUCUGAUGAUAAGUUCACUUCAGACUUCGGAUAGUUAAUUUGUCUGAAAGAAUCUCCCUGUUGUCUGCUCUGUUGUUGUAUGCAGGAGAGGAACCGAACCAAUGGAGGGUGACGGACCAGGGUGAGGGGGUAAUAAUUAAUACGUACCCUGGUGGCGACGGGCCAGCGGGGGCGGCCACCGCCCGGGAGAGCGUGGCAGCGCCGACGCGGCGCAACACCGGAGCGGCGGCGGUAGCUGCUGCUGCUGGGAACGCACGAGGGUGGCGGUGGCCACGCGGCGCCGGGGAAGCCAACGCGGAGGAAGCCAUCUGUGCUGGCGGUCUCGUCUCCACAUC
rnacentral:lncRNA from 1 species